AGAAGGAUGGAAGUGAUCAGCUGCGUGUGCGAGAGAACAGUACCAGAGGAAAUGUUCUUUUCACUGUAAGUCCAAGAAAUCCCUCCUGCAUUGUUUCUGGGAAGAAGACUGGUAACUGCCAACGACAGCGAAGGCAGAGAGCUUGAGCUGCCUCUGUGGGAAAUGCUGGCAAGAAGCUGAGAGGUCUCACAAGGUUGUUUGGGAUAGACAUUUUGGACCUGUGGAUCUUCCUAACACUUGGUCAGGAGACACGAGAGCACCAUGUCUGCGGCGACACCUCCCCGUAUUUCAUCUCUGUGGGACUGACAAGUUCCUCAUGCUCCCCGGUGUUCCUGUGUAUCUGAACUGAUUUCUUGCAACCUGUUCCUCUGAUCUUUCCUGAUUUCUGUGCUGGGGGAGGGACUCACAAUUUAGGAUAUAUAUUCUUUUUUUUUUUUUAGCCAGUUUGUUGGUUUAAAAUAUGCCUUUGAGCUCCCAGCGGGCCUUUGAGCACGUGGCACCAAGGAAGAGAAGCAGUGAUGGCGAGACCCGGAGCAGUGUCCUGGUGAGCAACGCUGGCGGUGACUGAGCCCCUCUUUCCUGUGUCUCCUGCCUCCCUGUCGCUGGGACACACGCUCGGAACCCCGACAAGCUUUGCCGACGGCUGGAGCCCGCCGCAGGGUGAGGACGCGUUCCCGAGCGGUAUGUGUGGCCGGAGCCCGCUGCUGCAGCUGGUAGCAUGAGUGCUGGCCCCCCGCUGCAGCUGGCUGUCCUCUGGCCGUGGCUGCUCAUGGCGACCCUGCACGCAGGGCUUGGCCGUACAGGGCUGGCGCUAGCGGCGGCGGUCGAGUCGGAGAGGUCGGCAGCGCAGAAAGCCAUCAUUAGAGUGAUCCCCCUGAAGGUGGAGCCCAUUGUGCUGGAAGGGGAGUUUGCAAACGUUGCUGAGGUGACUCCAGCCGAAGGAAAACUGCUGCAGUCCCACCCGCUGUCCCUGUGCAACACCAGCGAGGAUGAGCACACCGAAUCGGGAUUCAUCACCAUUGUCAAGCUUGAACAGCCGGAUCGGGAUCCCAACCCCUGCCUGUCGCUGGCAAACAAGGCAAAGCUGGCGGGGGAGCGUGGAGCUCGUGCGAUCCUUUUUGACAUUACCGAUGAUGAAAGUGCUGCUGAUCAGCUGAGAAAGCCCAGAGGUCUGAGUCAGCCUGUGGUUCUGAUCAGAGGUCACGAUGCUGAGCUUCUCAUGGGUGUCGUGAACAAGAACAGAGAGGCCCAUGUGAAGAUAGAGGUCAAGGAGCCACCAUCUUGGCCAGACUACGACGUGUGGAUCCUCCUCACGGUGGUCAGCACCGUGGUCGUUAUCAUCUUAAUUUUUGUGGUGCGCACAAAGUGCCAACUGAACAGGACUCAGGACUCCCUGCAGCAGCAGACCAUGCAGGCCAUCGGGCAGCUGGCCACGCGUAAGUUCCAGGCGAGGUGCCGGCCAGCAGCACGGUGGGACUCGGCCAGUACCUGCAGCUCAGCCCCGGUCUGUGCCAUCUGCCUGGAGGAGUUCAGCGAAGGCCAGGACCUGAGGAUCAUCUCGUGCUCCCACGAGUUUCACCGGGAGUGCGUUGACCCCUGGCUGCAGCAGCACCACACAUGUCCACUUUGCAUGUUCAAUAUCCUUGCCAGAGACUCGGUGGACCAGGCCACGGCUGCUGGCUCCAGGAUGGCCCCACAGGACAUGGAACCCGGACGGCGACUCCACCUCUUCCGACAGCACCCAGGACAUGCCCUUUACCACCUCCCACAUGCUUAUCCUCAGAGGAACCUCAGGAACUUUCCCCCGGAGCAAGCCCAUGGCAACCCCUUCUUUCACUCUCUGGAGCUCUCCCAGUUGGAUUUUGGCACUAUCCACUACAUGCCUUACAGGCCAGCCACCUCCCUGCUUGCCUGUGGCCACUCUUCUCCUCUGGCCCCGGGCUUGCUGGGCCAGCAGCAUCCCAACCCCUCGGCAUGCGGGCAGACGCUGCCAUCCCACAGGACUUGUUCUCUCCAGCCCCAGCCCCAGCCCCCCUGCCUGGGGCUCAAGGCAGCCCUGGUGCAGAAGCAGCACCGGGCGCCUGCCCUUCGCCGGGGGGUUGCCCACGGGCACCAGCACAACAGCAGUGGCUCUGGAGAAAGCUAUCUCACGGAGCACAGCGGGUACCUGGCAGAUGGGCCAGGCAGUGACUCCAGCUCGGGGCCUUGCCACGGUUCCUCCAGUGACUCCAUGUUGAACUGCACAGAUGUCAGUCUGCAGGGCAUCCAUGGCAGCUGCUCCACUUUCCGCAGCUCCCUCAGCAGCGAUUACGACCCCUUUGUGUACUGCAGCUCAGAGGGCCCUGCCACAGACAAUGGCCAGGAGCAGCCGCUGCCACCAAGGGACAUGCGGCCCAGGUCCUUGGACUUGAUGGUGCCUGGGGGUGCUGGUCCGGCGAAGCCCCAGGUGCUCAGCCACGUCCACUACCACCACCACCAGCACCACCACUACAGAAGAAAUGCGGAGUGUACCCCGGGGUGGGCAGGGCAAGGGCCUGGGCAGCGCAAAUCCCGGUACACAGGGGCCAAGGUUGGCUUCCACAGUGCUCGGACACAAAAGAGAACUGAGAAAAGCUAUCACUGUCAGCAGCCUCCAGACAGCAGCACUGUGCUGCAGGAAGCAGCUCUGGCGGGACAGCCAGCCUGUUCCCAGCAAGGCCGGGAGUCCCCUCAUAUCCCUUCCGCUUCUCCAAGCAGGUUGGACUUCAGUAAAGAUGCCAAAAGACAAUUGGAAGCAUCUGGGACAUCCCCUGUCCCACUGCCCCCAAAACACAGCUCACAGAGCCGUCACCACCGAAGGAAAAGAAAAUGUCCCCUGGAGCCCAGCCCCGCUCUUCUGCCCGAGGACUCAGCCUUGCCCAAAGCUUGCGAUGCUCAUGUUCCUCACAGACAUCCUGCUGGCUACUGCUGCUCACCUGAAGCCCAGCCCCUGAUCCCCACAAGCGCUCCCCUGUCCUGCAGCUCAGGCUCUCGGCCGCUCUGGAAGUGUUUAGUGCCGCAGUCUGGCUCAGAGCUGAAAAAGCAGGAGGAGGGGUUGUCAGGAUGGGAGGGAAACCACACGGUUCCUGCUGAUUUCUCAGGGACAGGCACCCCCAGACACAGUCUGAGUCUUCAACUUCACUGCCCGUCUCAGCAGGGUAGUCAGGGAUCUGAAGAGGAGGUCCAGGAUGUCCGUGAACACUCAGUUUAAUAGAACACUGGCCUGCUUCCUUACUGGAGAGCUGGAGUGGACAAAGAUGUUCAGUGUACCAGCCGUCGAGGAGCUCACAUCUGGCUCUCUGCACAGCCCUGACCUGCACAGCCCAUGCCAGGGUGCAGACUGUGAAUAAGCACUUGUGGUCUCUUCACAUGUUCCCCAUUUGCGAUGGUCACACAAACACGGUGCUGUGUUCUCCAGGUCCCCUUCUCCUUUGAAGGCAGAGGCAGACCAUCUUCAUCCUAUAGCAUCCAUCUGUGUGGGCCAGCUGGCUCAGAGAUCAGAGUUGGGAGUCACCAGCUGGAGAGCUCGCGCAGUCUGCCCUGCAAGGUGCUGCUUCUGGCUUUUUUGGAAACCAACAGCUCUCACCACUUUUGAUCACUUCAUUGUCCCUCAGCUGACGCCAUCUCAGCCAUUUGCUGGGUUUUGCCAGCAGCAGGUGAGGUGAAGACACAGGGACAAGAUCAGUAUUUCUGGGAAGGAGCUGGGUUAGACUCUUCCUGUUGCAGUGGGAAGAGCAAUCUCAUCUGGCAAUGUGUACAAGUCUCUCACUUUCCUCCACCUGCUCUCAAGAUAGGUGUGAUGGCUGGCUCUGUUAAGAGCAACUCAUUUGUUGAGCAUAUUUCAAACCUGAGAUG